rnacentral:rRNA from 1 species
UCCUACGGGAGGCAGCAGUGGGGAAUAUUGGACAAUGGGCGGAAGCCUGAUCCAGCAACGCCGCGUGAGGGAUGACGGCCUUCGGGUUGUAAACCUCUUUCAGCACAGACGAAGCGCAAGUGACGGUAUGUGCAGAAGAAGGACCGGCCAACUACGUGCCAGCAGCCGCGGUAAUACGUAGGGUCCGAGCGUUGUCCGGAAUUAUUGGGCGUAAAGGGCUCGUAGGCGGUCUGUCGCGUCGGGAGUGAAAACCAGGUGCUUAACACCUGGCCUGCUUUCGAUACGGGCAGACUAGAGGUACUCAGGGGAGAAUGGAAUUCCUGGUGUAGCGGUGAAAUGCGCAGAUAUCAGGAGGAACACCGGUGGCGAAGGCGGUUCUCUGGGAGUAUCCUGACGCUGAGGAGCGAAAGUGUGGGGAGCGAACAGGAUUAGAUACCCUGGUAGUCCACACCGUAAACGUUGGGCGCUAGGUGUGGGACACAUUCCACG